GUAUUAUUUAUGUAUUUCUAUCUAAGAGUGAAAUAAAGUUGUAUUGUAUUGUUGUAUUGUAUUGUAUUGUAUUUUAUUUCGUCAUGCUUUGAAAUACGAACCGCUAAGCUGGUUUAUAGAGGGACGUAAUUGGUAGUAAGUUACAAAAUCCCAAAUACUUAGACAACGUUCACACUAUAGACCGGAGCAAGUUUGUUUACAAAUUAAAUUAGCACUCGUGUAAACCCAAAAUAUUUCAAUUAGAGCAAACUGAAAUUUAAACGAAAAGCAUUCGAGUUUAAUGUUUUGAGACUUGAGAUGCUUGGUUUGCAAGCGAUACAAAAAAGUAACGGCGUUUGUGUUUACACGAAGCCGCCAAGCGCUUCGUAUUCAUAUCUCGCUCCGUUUAGAAACCGUGCUCAAAUUG